UGGGGAAUAUUGGACAAUGGGCGCAAGCCUGAUCCAGCCAUGCCGCGUGAGUGAUGAAGGCCUUAGGGUUGUAAAGCUCUUUUUGCCGGGGACGAUAAUGACGGUACCCGGAGAAUAAGUCCCGGCUAACUUCGUGCCAGCAGCCGCGGUAAUACGAAGGGGACUAGCGUUGUUCGGAAUCACUGGGCGUAAAGCGCACGUAGGCGGAUUUGUAAGUCAGGGGUGAAGUCCCGGGGCUCAACCUCGGAACUGCCUUUGAUACUGCGGAUCUCGAGUCCGAUAGAGGUGAGUGGAAUUCCUAGUGUAGAGGUGAAAUUCGUAGAUAUUAGGAAGAACACCAGUGGCGAAGGCGGCUCACUGGUCCGGUACUGACGCUGAGGUGCGAAAGCGUGGGGAGCAAACAGGAUUAGAUACCCAAGUAGUCCCUGAGCGGGCUGGCAAGGCGCAU
rnacentral:rRNA from 1 species